rfam:Schistosoma mattheei strain Denwood, Zambia genome assembly, scaffold: SMTD_scaffold0012594
AUCCAGUCGACAAGUCCUAAAUAGGACGAAACGCGCAUCCUGAAU